rnacentral:lncRNA from 1 species
UAGUAUAAGUGUAAUGAACUAGACAAACUGACGACCGUAUUUGCUUCCUCCGCACUCCUCGACCCACCGCUGUUGCGCGGACCGGGACUGGCCUAGCGUGGCGACAGAGGCCGCCGCGCAAAGGUGGAGCCAUCACAGCAGCAGCGGCAGGCGUGCUCGAAUACCUGCAAAGCUCGCCACAGUCUCUGCACCACCCUGCUCGCCGACCCACG